GCCUAGGAGAUGCACAGGAUGGGGGCAGGAUAUUGUUCACAGUCUCCACGUGGAUAUCUUCCUGCACUGCAUUUCCUUGUUUUCCCAUUUGCCAAAAUCAUUGCAUCUACCUGGAUGUGAAGAUGCUGAAAUGUGCAGAGAUGAGGGGUGCAGUGAGCUCUUCCUUCCAAAUCAGCACUCAUCAACACCGUGGAUAAGCAGCGCAAGAGGCAGCUGAGAAGAUCUCAAGGGUGCUGUGAGAUGAGACACAGAGCUCUCACCCUUCCAGGAAACCUGUUCAGGAGGAUACUCAGCUUCAAGGCAAUUUACCCUCCAGAAGCCCAGCCACAUCCAGCAGACAUCAUUGGCUCCCUGGUCUCCUGCAUUCACAGCAUCAUCUUUCCUGACCUUUCCUGCUCUCUUCCAACAGUUCAUCUUUGUGAUUAAGUGCUGAUCUAGCUCCCAGUUGCUGAAGACAGAAACCCUGAAGACAAAAAGCUGUUAAUGAAGAAAUUAGCUCUACAAUUGAUCCUAGAGCCAUGCUUAAUUGCACACGAUAGCUCUGUCUAUUGAACUGCCACAGUUGCUUAGUAAUUAAUAGCAUCUUCAUAUCACAGGCUAUAAAACACCCUGUGGAUUUCUGCACUGCAUUCCCAUUUUGUCUUGCUGUAUCACUAACAUCAUACCAUCCCUCUGGAAGGAGGUUGUGAGAUUAAACCUGUACAUAGCCACUGUAUCUUUUCCAGAAGAAUGUAAUAGUAGCCAAAGAAUCCACCUUUUGUGUACUGUUUGUCAGAGGGACAACAUGAAAGCAGAACACACCUCCUUGCCACUUGCCCUUUAACCCCUCCUAAUGAACCUUUCAUAUGCUAAUAAUGCUAAGGACCUAAAUAAAGAAAACAAAUUUAUAAAGGGUUGAAACCUA
rnacentral:lncRNA from 1 species